UACGAAGGGAGCUAGCGUUGUUCGGAAUUACUGGGCGUAAAGGGCGUGUAGGUGGUUCUAUAAGCAAGAUGUGAAAGCCCCAGGCUUAACCUGGGAAUGGCAUUUUGUACUGUAGGACUCAGAGUGCGAGAGGGGGAAGUGGAAUGGCGAGUGGAGCAGUGAAAUGCGUUGAUAUUCGUUGGAACACCAGAGGCGAAGGCGACUUCCUGGCUCGACACUGACACUAAGGCGCGAAAGCGUGGGGAGCAAACAGG
rnacentral:rRNA from 1 species